UCGUACUACAGAGGUGCUCAGGUUGUCGCUGACCUUUUUGGUCGUGCACGCCUGAGUGCUCUCAAUCCAUUUCACCCUUUGUGCAUCACCGCGCGGGGUCUCUUCCUCUUGGCUUGCAUCAAGAGGGGAGGUUCGCGUUUUUCAUACAAACACCCUUCUAGUUUAGAAUGUCUUACUAUUUGCGAUAAUGCGCAAUCAAUA
rnacentral:misc_RNA from 1 species